rnacentral:rRNA from 1 species
GAACGAACGCUGGCGGCAUGCCUAACACAUGCAAGUCGAACGAGACCUUCGGGUCUAGUGGCGCACGGGUGCGUAACGCGUGGGAACCUGCCCUUAGGUUCGGAAUAACUCCCCGAAAGGGGUGCUAAUACCGGAUAAUGUCUUCGGACCAAAGAUUUAUCGCCUUUGGAUGGGCCCGCGUUGGAUUAGCUAGUUGGUAGGGUAAAAGCCUACCAAGGCGACGAUCCAUAGCUGGUCUGAGAGGAUGAUCAGCCACACUGGGACUGAGACACGGCCCAGACUCCUACGGGAGGCAGCAGUGGGGAAUAUUGGACAAUGGGCGAAAGCCUGAUCCAGCAAUGCCGCGUGAGUGAUGAAGGCCUUAGGGUUGUAAAGCUCUUUUACCCGGGAUGAUAAUGACAGUACCGGGAGAAUAAGCUCCGGCUAACUCUGUG